CAGGGGCCAACCUGUGUCUCCAGGCCUAGUCCGGAGGAUGGAGUGGUGGGGAGGACUCUGGGGAAGUGGGAAAACGGAGACGCAAUGCGUCCAUGUACCCUAUUUAAUGUUGCUGCUCACAGCAGGCAGCACCCCAGCUCCGUCUCUUCAGAGGACAGUGCUUGCCUGUUCUUCUAGCUCAGUUAAGCAGUCAAUUUACAAGUGAUUUGGAUUUCCUCACAAUUUACUGAACAAAGAAGAAAAUCUAAGAUAUAAAAAGGGUUUUCUACAGAAAUGAAUAAUAAACUGAAUUAAGAGAAUUGGAUUCCAGUUCUAGCUUCGUAACUACCUUGAGCAAGACACUGAAUUCAUGUGAACUUGAAGGCGCUUAUCCGUAAAAUGAUGAUCUUGGAGCAUCCAAGAAGUCCUUUCCGACUGUGUCACAGAUUCAAAGCUCUUCGUUCCCUGAAGUCCUGCUACUGUGACUUGGAACUCUCUGUUUCUAUGGUGUGCAGCACUCAGCACAAGUUUGUUGAAUGAACAAAUGAUCAAAUGACAUUUGCCCUUCCCUGCCUGACAUUCCAGUCACAUUCUUCCAUAACUUUGC
rnacentral:lncRNA from 10 species